UACGGAGGAUCCGAGCGUUAUCCGGAUUCAUUGGGUUUAAAGGGUGCGUAGGUUGUUUUAUAAGUUAGCGGUGAAAUACCGAUGCUCAACAUCGGGGCUGCCGCUGAUACUGUAGGACUAGAGAUCGGAUGCAGCAGGCGGAAUGUGUAGUGUAGCGGUGAAAUGCAUAGAUAUUACACAGAACACCGAUUGCGAAGGCAGCUUGCUAGGCCGGAUCUGACACUGAUGCAUGAAAGCGUGGGGAUCGAACAGG
rnacentral:rRNA from 1 species